ACACAUAUAAUUAAUAUUCAGUCUAAACUUAAACAUAGGUUUUAAGGGAUUUUCAAAGAGUAUUAACCUUCCAUUUACAGUUUACAUUCUGAUUCACAACGGAUCCCUGUACAGUUUGUCUGAAUAAGGGUUUAGGCUGGCUGGCUCCUGGUACAACACUACGGGAGAUUGCUGCAAAUAAGAAUAGUGUACUGAAUCCACCAGUUUUAAGAAUAAGGUUCAAGAUCCCUGGUUGGCGCAGUUCAGGAGGAACGAAAUGUUUGCGGCACAUAGAUCCAGUUGCUUUCAGAUAUUUCUAUGAUCAAGUUCGGACUGAUUUUGACAAGGGUAAAGUUUGCAGCAGAAAACAUAGUGAACGAAGUGAGAGGUGGUGGGCUGGACUUUUACAAACUGGAGGCAGAGACAGGUAA